AUCCAGCUGAUGAGUCUCAAGUAGGACGAAAUGCGCGUUCUGGAU
rfam:Schistosoma haematobium scaffold2018_19, whole genome shotgun sequence.